rnacentral:rRNA from 1 species
GUGAGGAAUAUUGGUCAAUGGGCGAGAGCCUGAACCAGCCAAGUCGCGUGAGGGACGAAUGGUCUAUGGCCUGUAAACCUCUUUUGCCAGGGAAGAAUAAAAGGUACGUGUACCUUCUUGCCAGUACCUGACGAAUAAGCAUCGGCUAACUCCGUGCCAGCAGCCGCGGUAAUACGGGGGAUGCGAGCGUUAUCCGGAUUUAUUGGGUUUAAAGGGCGCGUAGGCGGGACGUCAAGUCAGCGGUAAAAGACUGCAGCUAAACUGUAGCACGCCGUUGAAACUGGCGACCUGGAGACGAGACGAGGGAGGCGGAACAAGUGAAGUAGCGGUGAAAUGCAUAGAUAUCACUUGGAACCCCGAUAGCGAAGGCAGCUUCCCAGGCUCGUUCUGACGCUGAUGCGCGAGAGCGUGGGUAGCGAACAGGA